GGUUGCCGCAGCUCCCGGAGCAGGAGGGAGCGGAGCGGAGCGGCGGCCGCCCGUCCGUCUCUCGGGGGGGGGCAGCGGCCCUCCCCCUCCCCCUCCGCCUGCUCGGGUUCGCUACGAUACUUGAGCAAGUAAACACAUUCUAAAGGAUGGCAUACAUGCUGAAAUGUUGCAGUCAAAGGAACUGAAAUUGUGUGUUCUUACCUUGUUUUGCUCAGAUGUGUAUGGUAUUUUUAGAGUAUCCAUAGCUCUGAUCAUAGCUUGUAUGGCAGUAAAUAUGUUUUGAUAAACCA